rnacentral:tRNA from 1 species
AAGGAUUUAAGUUAAAAACUAAACUAAUAGCCUUCAAAGCUGUAAAUAGACUUAAUAUCUAAGCCUUA